ACAGCAGCCGCCGCGGGAAUACGAAGGGUGCAAGCGUUACUCGGAGUUACUGGGCGUAAAGCGUGCGUAGGUGGUUGUUUAAGUCUGCUGUGAAAGCCCUGGGCUCAACCUGGGAAUUGCAGUGGAUACUGGGCAACUAGAGUAAGGUAGAGGAUAGUGGAAUUUCCGGUGUAGCAGUGAAAUGCGUAGAGAUCGGAAGGAACAUCUGUGGCGAAGGCGACUAUCUGGGCCAUUACUGACACUGAGGCACGAAAGCGUGGGGAGCAAACAGGAUUAGAUACCCCAGUAGUCCCUGUCUCUUAUAC
rnacentral:rRNA from 1 species